GACAGAGGGUGCAAACGUUGUUCGGAAUUACUGGGCGUAAAGCGCGUGUAGGCUGUUCGGAAAGUCGGAUGUGAAAGCCCCGGGCUCAACCUGGGAACGGCGCGCGAAACGGGAGGGCUGGAGUUCGGGAGAGGAGAGUGGAAUUCCCAGUGUAGAGGUGAAAUUCGUAGAUAUCGGGAGGAACACCAGUGGCGAAGGCGGCCUUCUGGCUCGCAACUGACGCUGUAGCGCGAAAGCGUGGGGAGCGAACGGG
rnacentral:rRNA from 1 species